rnacentral:rRNA from 1 species
CCUACGGGAGGCUGCAGUGGGGAAUAUUGCACAAUGGGCGCAAGCUUGAUGCAGCCAUGCCGCGUGUAUGAAGAAGGCCUCCGGGUUGUAAAGUAUUUUCAGUCGUGAGGCAGGUGUUAAGGUUAAUAACCUUAGCAAUUGACGUUAGCGACAGAAGAAGCACCGGCUAACUCCGUGCCAGCAGCCGCGGUAAUACGGAGGGUGCGAGCGAUAAUCGGAAUUAUUGGGCGUAAAGGGUACGUAGGCGGUUAAUUAAGUUGGAUUUGAACUCCUCGAGCUUAAACUGGGGAUGGCAUUCGAGACCAGUUAGCUAGAGGUUUGUAGAGGUGUGGAGAAAUCCAUGUGUAGCGAUGAAAUGCGUAGAGAUGUUGAGAAAUACCUGUGGCGAAGGCGGCCCACUGGACAAAGACUGACGCUCAUGUGCGAAAGCGUGGAGAGCAAACAGGAUUAGAUACCCGAGUAGUC